UUUGAAUUUGCUAUUAGUAUUAUAGAUAGCACUUUAUAAGCAGUGCUCCUUUUUUCUUUGGUUGAUUUUUAAAGAUUUUGUAUUUGUUUUUGACAAUCAAGAUUUUUACAUAAUUUGUCUAAAUUUUUUGGGUUUUUUUUUUGCUCUGUUUUAUUUUGCCCCAUAUUUAUAUCACUUUUUGAAUCUGUGGCAUGUUUUAAGUCAGUUUUGGAAAACAUGCAUAUCUCUUCAAGUUUUCUGUUCUCCUUCCUAUUUCUUCUCCUCCUUCAAAAAUGAGGGUACUUUAAUUUUUUUUUAACUUUAUCUCAUGUUCUCUUUGGUGGUUUCUUGUAUUUUCUGUUUGGAUUAUUUACAUAACAGCUUUGUGAAGUUUACAAGUUGCCAAAUAACUUGAAAGAAAUAUCAGUACAGGUUGGCUGUUUGAGCUUGACUUAGGUUCUUCAGAGUGGUUAUGACAAUCCAGAAGCUUGAGAAUCAUUGUCAUACAUAUUUUGAAUUUCUAAUUUAAACAUCAGACGGGUUUUAAUAUGAAGCCUUUUGCCUAUCAGCAGUUUAUCAACAAUGAAAAGUGAAAGACAUUAGCAGAUGUUUUGAAUUAAUUAAUGAUGAAUCUGAGCUUGGCUAUCUGACUUACUUUGGCUGAUGUGAUGCAAGCAAUUGUGAUCUAAGCACAGACAUAAAAAGGACUUUCACAUUAAGGCUCACCUUCUUGCUAAUCUUAGAACACUCCCACCAUAAUCUAGGCUACUCUGCUGGAGAAUUGAUGAUACGGAGUCCAGUUAACCUCAUUAUUUCAACUAACAGUCAUUCUAAUUAUAUAAGAUAUAUGAAUGAAGCCAUCCUAGACUAGGAAGCUCCUAACUUUCCUACUAGCAGAGCACAGAAAAAUGGCCAAACCCAACAACAAUCAACAGAGGUAAACUAAAGCUGGUUCAGGUUGGCAGAAUGCCAGUAUGACACAUUGUUA
rnacentral:lncRNA from 1 species